rnacentral:rRNA from 1 species
GUAAGGAAUAUUGGUCAAUGGAGGAAACUCUGAACCAGCCAUCCCGCGUGAAGGAUGAAGGGGCUCUGCCUUGUAAACUUCUUUUGUCUGGGGCGAAAAAGCCUGAUUUAUCAGGAACUGACGGUACCAGAAGAAUAAGCACCGGCUAACUCCGUGCCAGCAGCCGCGGUAAUACGGAGGGUGCAAGCGUUAUCCGGAAUCACUGGGUUUAAAGGGUGCGUAGGCGGCUUAGUAAGUCAGUGGUGAAAGGCUGUGGCUUAACCAUGGAAUUGCCAUUGAUACUGCGGAGCUUGAAUGAGGUUGAGGUUGGCGGAAUGUGACAUGUAGCGGUGAAAUGCUUAGAUAUGUCAUGGAACACCGAUUGCGAAGGCAGCUGACUGGACCUAAAUUGACGCUGAGGCACGAAAGCGUGGGGAGCGAACAGGAUUAGAAACCCCAGUAGUCC